rnacentral:misc_RNA from 1 species
AGAUUAGAUGAGAUGAGCAGGUAGGAUUGUUUGUUAGAAAAGAGAAUUAAUAAGUCGAACACGCAACCUUUAAAUGGAUUUAAGGAAAUCUUACCACUAAGCUUAAAGAAGUUUCUAUAUCAAAUGGACGUGCUAAUUUAAUGUUAUAUAGGUUCGCUUCGGUUAUUUCAAUUUUUUCUAUUCAAAAACCGAACUGAACCGAAAUAAACAAAAAUUUUAAAAAUUAAAACGGAACUGAAUCGAUUAUUAUCAAAACUAAACCGAACAACUCAACUCAACUCAACUUAGCCUUUAUCCCAAAAAUUUGGG